UGUAAGCGUAUACCAAAGUUGUUGCAGUUAAAACGCUCGUAGUCGGAAUUUGGCAGUUCCGGAUGUGUGCACGUCGUGUGCGCACUUCGCGGGGAUUGCUUUUGUGGUCUUGCGUAGGAUGAGGCACUUUUAUUAGUGAACGUCCUCACGCAACCACUUUUUACUGUGAGAAAAUCAGAGUGCUCAAAGCAGGCAUUUGCCGUGAAUGUAUUAGCAUGGAAUAGUAGAAUAGGACUUGGUUCUAUUUUGUUGGUUUGUUGGGACUGAGUAAUGAUUAAGAGGGACAGUUGGGGGCAUUUGUAUUUCGGUGCUAGAGGUGAAAUUCUUAGAUUACCGAAAGACAAACUGCUGCGAAAGCGUCUGCCAAGGAUGUUUUCAUUGA
rnacentral:rRNA from 1 species